GUCCUUCGGGAGUAGACUUUUCUUCCUGAGUCACAGAUGAAGGAAAGACAACAGAAACUUCUGAGAGAAUAGAGAGACAGGCUGAGGAAAGCAAGAGAGUCUCAAUGUGCUGCUAAGUGUGAUCAGACAACAAUGGAAAAUAUUGCAGCCAUUCACAUGAACAAGCAAUGAAUGCCACAUUUUGUCCUGCUUCAAGUCAAGCCACAAGCAUGGCUUCGCUUCACUGUUGGAAACAGCAUGGAAACAUGGAAUAUGCAGUGCUACCGCACUGUGCCUCCUCACUGCUGCAGCCUGAGUCAUUCAGAAGUCGCUGCAAAUAGGAUGGGAGCCCACACCAGUGCCAUCACAGCUUCUGUCUCUUAAGUCUGACAGGUCCAGACUAUUAAAAUCUCCAUGCUACCUUCAGCUACAUGAGUCUCUGAAGUUCCUAUGAUCCUCAGAGACACGUCCUCUGGAUUUGUAUCCCGUGAAACCUAAUCUGGUAUAGUAGUUUGGGUUUUAUUGCUGUGAAGAGACACAAUGACCAUGGCAACUUUUAUACACAAAGCAUUUAAUUAGGACUGAACCAAUUUCAGAGUUUCAGUCCAUUAUUAUCAUAGCAGGAAGCAUGGCAGUGUGC
rnacentral:lncRNA from 1 species